AAGAGUUGGGAGUUACUACAAGAGAGGUACAUUCACUACUAAUUUUGUGUAGUUAUCUGCACUUGUUUGAGGUUUUAAUAAUGUUGUUCUGAUUGAUACUAUAUGAACAUCAUCCACCAUUGGUAUGAAUGGCUUGUGUUUUCCGGUUCUUGAACUCCCGCUGAACAAGACAAAAAGGAGUUCAUCGCAUCCCUACACAAGCGAGAGACUGAGCAGCACGUGGCGCUGAUCGAGAAGAAGCUGUUGGCUCUUCGACCUGGUGUUGCAAAAUGGCAAGUGAUUUGUGCCACUUCUGCUAAGGAUCUGAAGAUCAAGCUGAAUGCUGCUGCAAAGAUGUCUCGUCUUGCAAUAGUCUACUUCACUACAACAUGGUGUGCCCGCAUUGGUCUGAUAUACACAAAACUAGCUUCAGAAUUUCCUGAAAGUCGACAUUGAUGAGGCGCCCGAGAAUGGGCGAUCCUUCGAGCUAUGUGAAUCUUGUCCUGUUCGGCUUAGUAUGACAAGUGUCCGCAUGCAAUCAAUGGACAUUUUGGUGAAAUUUUUGUGUUGUGCUUUGAGGUUUGGAUGCGCGUACAUUUCUUCGCCAAGCCAUAGCAAAUAAGGCUUCCGCCGCUGCUGCUAGUAGAUUUUGGCUCGAGAAGGUUCCCUAAUGCAAAAAUCAAUGGCCAUAGAUGCAACAUUUUGGGGAAAUUUAGUGUGUUUUAGUUACAAAUCUUCUUCAAUUCAUAGAGAAUAAGUCUUCCGCCUGCUGCUGCUUCUGCUCGUAGAUUUUGGCUUGUGCGGAAUAGAAAGUGUUGAUGUAGGGAAAAAUGUUGAGAUCUAAGCAUCUGAAGACUGUUGAAUCUAACAAAGACAAAGCGCAUUCGUUGGAGAUGGAAAUUGUCGAGUCUGAUGUUGAAUUGGAUGAUUCGCAUGUUGUGGAG